CAGCUACACAUGCAGUCGAGCGGUAGCACAGGAGAGCUUGCUCUCGGGUGACGAGCGGCGGACGGGUGAGUAAUGUCUGGGAAACUGCCUGAUGGAGGGGGAUAACUACUGGAAACGGUAGCUAAUACCGCAUAAUGUCGCAAGACCAAAGUGGGGGACCUUCGGGCCUCAUGCCAUCAGAUGUGCCCAGAUGGGAUUAGCUAGUAGGUGGGGUAACGGCUCACCUAGGCGACGAUCCCUAGCUGGUCUGAGAGGAUGACCAGCCACACUGGAACUGAGACACGGUCCAGACUCCUACGGGAGGCAGCAGUGGGGAAUAUUGCACAAUGGGCGCAAGCCUGAUGCAGCCAUGCCGCGUGUGUGAAGAAGGCCUUCGGGUUGUAAAGCACUUUCAGCGGGGAGGAAGGCGGUGAGGUUAAUAACCUCGCCGAUUGACUUUUUCCGCAAAAAAAGCACCCGAGUCCUCUGUGCCUGCAGCCCGCUAAUACGGAGGGAGUAAGCGUUAUUCGGAACUACUGGUGCUAAGCCCCCUCCUUUGUUCUGUCAAUUUCCAUGUAAUCAUACUGUCAUGCCGUGCAACUGCCCUCGAAACUGCCAGGCUUGAGUCUUUUAAUGCGACACAACCUCA
rnacentral:rRNA from 2 species